UGAAUGAGCUGAAACUAGUGACAGGAAUUAGAUUUUUAUAGUCUAAAAUGAAUACAGAUAUGUUUUCAUAGUGUUCAUUUAGAUAUCCUUGGCUCAUUUUAGGCCUAAUCCUGAAAGUUUUGCUCAUCUAUGCAUGUUUAUGAAGAAUUAUGAAGUUAUGAUAUAAUAUGCAUCAUUUGCCAGUCCAGAAUCUCCCUAUCUAAAGCACCUCAUCGUAGGUGGCUGCUUCUUGCUGUAAUCUCUUGCUGGUUUCCUGUUGUUUAGCAGCAGGUUGAUGCAGAACGUCAAAUGCCAUCAUUGACGUUCUUAUAUAAAAGCAAUAUUAAGAAGAGACAAUUAUAGAAUGAUUGGAUCAAAUAAAAUGAUCAUACACACCAAUCUCACUUUAAUGGCAGUAAAAAAAAAAAAAAAAACAUGCAAGACAAUGUCUAGCCAUAAAUUGGGAGUGGGGAGGAGGGUCAAAAACAAGGGGACAGGGAUAAUAACCAAGAAGAGCAGAGAGAGAGAGAGUGAGAGAGAAAGAGAGAAGGAGAGGGAUGGAGAGAAAAAGCGACAGGACCAUUAGAAGAAAGCAUGUGUUUUCGAAGCAACAUCAGACAUCAGUACUGUGGCUUUCUGACUCUGAGUCUGUUUGGAUUAUGUCAGUCCUUCACAUCAAGAAUCAGUUGUAGAGUUGCUCACUCUCAAAGCGGACUGAUCGCCAUUCGCCUACUCAUCCUCAAGCACGGAGCACCAGAGCUCAGCUCAAGCUCUCUGAAUUUGGGGAUAUACCUCUUUCAGUGUUUCUCUGUCAUUCUGUUCAUGCGUGUGAGUUUUGCCAUUUGGAUUCUGCCUGGACUCCUUGUGAUUAGUCAAGCACACACGCUCCCCUGGAAGGAAGGAUCAUGAAAACAAUGAAAACAAACUUAGUUUGUAGUUUACUGGGGCCUUCAGGCAUCUUCUUCUUCUUCUUGCUUUAAAGCCAUAAAGCAAGAAGAAGUCUCCUCACACACCUGCUGCUGAGAAGUGAGAACGUGCAUAGGAGGACGUGCUCAGAAGAGUUCAGUUCGCAUGAAUCAGAGGUAAAAAAAAAAACCCUAUAUAAAUACUGUUCAGUUUCUUGUAUUGACUGAUCAUUUUGUGUCUUUACACAUCACGACAUGAGCCGCAGGGUUUAAUUUGUUUUUGUUUGUGUAUGUUUUUUUGUUUUUGUUUUAAUGUAUGUUUUAGCUGUGAUUCCCAUCCACUUAUAUUAUAAGAGUGAUAGACUGCGAAAGACUAGAAAACCGUUUUUUAGUUAAAAAUCUUGGUUUGUGUUCUGUUGUGUUCAAACAAAGUCACCUACAUCUUGGAUGACCUGGAGG
rnacentral:lncRNA from 1 species